ACACACUGACAAGCUGCUGGAAGCCUUUUUUCCACACUGUUGGACUCAACUUUUUACCUCCACUAGAGGGCGACAUUAUCAAGUAGGCGGUGCACUACUUCUGCACUGUGUUCAACCAUUGUGUCAAUAAUAAGUGCUGCUGUGAAGAGAACAAUUCUCACACUGAAUGUUGAACAGCAGCUGCUUUCUCCUGUUGCUUUAAACCUUGUUGUACAGAUGGAACUUUGGCUGUGGAUUAUUCUUGCUGCUCUUUUCUUUGAGUGUAAAGGACAAGACAAAGUGAACCAGCCAACAGAGGAUGUCAUUGCUACUGAAGGAGACUCAGUUACACUUGGAUGUACAUUUGAGACAAGUUACCCAAGUCCAUAUCUCUUCUGGUACAAACAGGAAGCAAACGGUUAUCCAAAGUACAUGCUGAGAUGUUUCUCUAAAACAGUCGAUCAUGCUCCAGAGUUUGAAAAGGACAGAUUUAAUGCUACAAUUGAGAACAAGUCGGUUCCUCUGAAGAUCCAGAAGCUUCAGCUGUCUGACUCUGCUGUGUACUACUGUGCUCUGCAGCCCACAGUGACAGGAAACACCAAAACUCUGUACAAAAACCUUUGGAGCAAAGACAACAGAAUACUCCACAACAUCCACUAGAGGGAGUCACACACUGUUACACUGCAGUGGGAUGUGAUUUUCCAGAAUCAUCUGCAAAAGACACCAGAAAAUGAAAAUGAAAGAUAAAGGUAUAAAGUAAAAUUUAGUUAGUCAUAAAACACAAACUGUAAUGAUAAUGAGGUGUUGUGGGAUGCUAUUUAUGUGAACAAUAUCUCAUCACAGGUGAAUUUAACAGCAAAUCUUGUGACAUCUGCAGCUCAAAUUCAACUCUUUAGGUUAAGUUUGUGACAAACUCUCUUACAUAUUCACUGUGUUUAUGUGAAAUAUCGUAAGCUGGCAAGAAAUCAUUUGAAAUAAAACAUUC